UCGGUCAUCGUCUCGUCUGUCUUUAGGUAUCUUAUCUCUCGAAUCUUGCCCCUUCUACACCUCUUAAUUUAUCUUAUCUCAGUAGGAAAAAAAAAUCCAUAUCAAAAUCAACUUUUAUUUGUACAUUUUCUAUACUUUCAGGACAAACUGUACAUACAAUCAUUUACUAAUACUAAUAUUCCAUACAUUUUCAUUCCCAGCUCAGAACCCAUUGCAUUGCACGAUCAUGUUAAAUACUAACCAGAAAAUCCUACAAUCUGAGUUUCAUUGACAUUAAGCUACAAUGUAGCACACACAAUAGAAAAAUAAUGAGACUUAGGAAACUCUCGUUAAUUUAUACAUUUAUAUUGUAUAUAUUAAAAAAGAUCUUUAUAUGUAUCCUUUGUUGUACGUUUAUACUGGUCAAUUUAAUUACCACCUCAACGAUGUCGAUUCUGUCAUGGAAAAGCAAAAACAACAUCCUUUAUUAUUCCAAAGCAUUAACCUGGAAACAGUAGCUUUUAUUUGUACUUUGAUAUACUUUCAGGAGAAAUUUUACUAAUAUUCCAUACAUUUUUAUUCCUACUGUUUUAAGAAUACUACAAUAUAUGUUUUGAAGAACGUACACAGGGUAUUUAAUUAGCCAUUGUUUCAUAGAAAUUCAACAGAUGGAUCCUAAUAAAAUUGGGUACAUUAGUGACAUUACAUUCUAUUACAAUACAUUCAUUUUGCUUUGUUACUUUCUUACUUAUCCAUAUGUUCACUUAACAAUAUUAAUUAAUUAUACCAACCAUAUAACCACUUGAGCUAUCCUGACGUUCGAGCAGCAGCUUGACCUGAAGGUCUGGUUCGAAUCUCACUAGUGCCACUGGCUUUUUUUAUCUCAACCAAGACUCUAGACAAAAAGUAUAAUUAAUUUGUUACUUUUUUGAUUUAUUCUGCCAAUAAAUGAUUUUUUGGCGAUUAUUAUUUCCUAUUUUUACAUUGAGAGCCGAGUAAAGCAUGUUCCAUAUCAUCACAUGGCUUUGCAAGAUAAAAAAGGUCAUUCUUACCUUCAAACUCAGAACUCAUAUGGAGUCUCACGUUGGACUCUUGUUUUAUUAAAAUUCAACUCUGAAGAAUUCUUACAUUGCGCAACGACAUGAACAAAAAUUUAUUACUAUGCUAGCAUACUUUCAUAAUUUUUCAGUUGCAAUUAAUAUUUUUCUCUUUCAAAAUUUAUUUUUAUAUCUGACAAAGGGUUUAAGUUCUGGGUGAAAUAUAUGCAUUGUAACUUUUUACUUUAUUCUGCCAAGAAAUGAUCUUGGCAAUUAUUAUUUCCUAUUAUUACCUAAACCCUAAAAGUGGAAUCACUAUGCUUAACAACAGGGAUUUUUUUUGAGGUGUUACACUUAGCCUUAAGUUUUCUAAGAUCCUUUUUAAACUAGCAAGGGGACAACCAGGUUGGACAUCACGGAUUUGGACCAAACUUUUCUGUGAUUCUACACUCCAUACUAUUGGACACGUAUCUGCCACUACUUUGUGGCCCUGGUUUUGUCAAAAAAAAA